GACGUAGGGGGCCAGCGUUGUUCGGAAUUACUGGGUGUAAAGGGUUCGUAGGCGGUGCGGCAAGUUGGGAGUGAAAUCUCUGGGCUUAACCCAGAGGCUGCUUCCAAAACUGCUGUGCUUGAGUGUGGGAGAGGCGCGUGGAAUUGCAGGUGUAGCGGUGAAAUGCGUAGAUAUCUGCAGGAACACCCGUGGCGAAAGCGGCGCGCUGGACCAAUUCUGACGCUGAGGAGCGAAAGCCAGGGGAGCAAACGGG
rnacentral:rRNA from 1 species